CCUAACUCUCUUGCUGUGCUUUCAAGCUGAACAUAUGUUUUCAAUUAUUAACAUGAUUAAUGGGAAUGAGGUGACUUGAAUCCCAAUGAACUCUAUCCUACCAUUGCAUGCAAAGUCCACAAUAUGGUAAUGUUUAUGCAGUGUGGAAGUGCACUAUUUGCUCCACUGAGAGGGCUCUUCAGAGGUACAGGUGCCUAACCCUCAGCAAAUUUAGAGAUCCACCAUUAAAGCUACUUGCUGUAUAAGUUCCUGGGCAGCUCUUUGGACCAUGACCUGCUCAUGAGAACCCAUGUCCCGAUGGCUCCUGCUUCUGCCUCUCCAGGAGAGGGCAUGGAAAUUGCCAUACAGGAGCCAGUUCAUACAGUACUGUCCUUGUCUGGUCUGGGUUUUGGUCAGGAACCCCAGAAGAGCUGGAAGACGCGAAACCAUCUUCCUCCCAUCAUCAUCUGGGACAGACUCCAGGAUUCAUAAGUCUCCAGUUCAGCUGAGACUCUCCCACUGUUUCAUGGGGACUCUAAACCUACCUGUCCCUUCUUGGCAGGCAAGUUUUAAUAAGCUGCCAAAUCCAGAAUUCAUCCAUAUACUUGGACCAGUUUUUCCUCCAUCAGUUAAGUAUUGGUCUAAUUCCUUCUGACAUAAAUACAUAUGUCACUCACACAAAAUCUGAAAUUCUCUCUCUGGAAGUGAGUCAUUCAGCCCCUCACAAACAGAAAAAAAAUGUUGGGUAGAAGCACGGUUGUACAGGAUAAAUGUAUUUGCUGAAGGUCCAAGCCAGAAAUGAACGGAUGAACACCCUCCUUCAGAUCAACAGAAACAAAGCUGUGCCAUGAGCGCUGGAACUGCUGAAGACAGCCAGUCCCAUCACCUUGGGUCUGGUGGCUGAAUGAAUGUUCUCAUUUAAACUUUCCUAGCAUUGCUAGACUUUUAAGUUUGCUGUCUCUUGCAGACUCUGUGGGUUAAGAUGAGGAUAAGUUCAUAUUACAUCCUUUACGUCAGCAUGAUACAAAUAGGGACUUUCUCCUCUGUCUGCAUGCCUAUUUUCAUGGAUUCAGUAAGAAAUAAGUUAGCUCCAGGUGUGGCUGAAGCUGCUAAAAAGGUUUGGGACUACAAGGAGAGCAAGCAUGCAGAAAGAGAUGAUCUCAUAAAUCAUUAUUUCAAUGGGAAAUGUGACUAAAAAUUGCUAUACAGUGCAAGUGCAGAUGGCUUUUUUGCAGUACCAGCAGUGUGCAUGUGUAUAUGCAGAUAUACAGUAUCAGUUAGCAUUGAGAAGCUGCAUGACUAAAUCUCCUUUUCAGUUUUGAAAUAUUCUCUCUCUAUAUGUACGUAUGGGUAUAUACACAUACAUAUAAAUGACAUAUCUUCCUGACUGUCUCUAUGCACGUGUGUGUAUAUGCAUGCAUUUUUCUGUCAAAGCACUACAUACAUAUUUAGGCAGUGUACAGCAUUGUUAGAAUAGGCUGGUAUGUGAUUACUUGUCCUACUGCACUUCAGACACAGGCUUGUGCUUCUCUGAUUUACCAAAUCAAACAAGUAGGCUGCAUAUUAGGACUCAUAAAUUCAACCACUGAAAAGAGGAAGUUGUGCGUAUUAUUGCAUGUAUGCGAUAGGUGAUUUGCAGUCAUACAAAUUUUGCACACAUUCAGGCAGCAGACAGCUGCAUAAUGCAAAAGCAGUAAAACCAUCCUGGCUAAGGACAUAAUGGCCACAAUGAUUACCACAAUCUCAGUACCCACAUGCUAAGGGACAAAGUCACCUGUACAUUUUACCUCUUUCUGUGAGUAAUUUUACUGUUAGCAAGCGCAAAAAAUCAUGUUAGACGAAUGAUCUGAGAGUGCUUGCGGGUGGAAUUUCCAUGUGUGACUGUAGCUGGGAUCUGUACAAAUAAAAACUUGCCUGCUAAUAACCCGCGAGUUCCCAGACCAUAAAAUACUUAUAAUUGAA